GGGUUGUGAGGUUAAGCGACUAAGCGUACACGGUGGAUGCCCUGGCAGUCAGAGGCGAUGAAGGACGUGCUAAUCUGCGAAAAGCGUCGGUAAGGUGAUAUGAACCGUUAUAACCGGCGAUGUCCGAAUGGGGAAACCCAGUGCAAUUCGUUGCACUAUCGUUAACUGAAUACAUAGGUUAACGAGGCGAACCGGGGGAACUGAAACAUCUAAGUACCCCGAGGAAAAGAAAUCAACCGAGAUUCCCCCAGUAGCGGCGAGCGAACGGGGAGCAGCCCAGAGUCUGAAUCAGCUUGUGUGUUAGUGGAACGGUCUGGAAAGUCCGACGGUACAGGGUGAUAGUCCCGUACACCAAAAUGCACAGGCUGUGAACUCGAAGAGUAGGGCGGGACACGUGGUAUCCUGUCUGAAUAUGGGGGGACCAUCCUCCAAGGCUAAAUACUCCUGACUGACCGAUAGUGAACCAGUACCGUGAGGGAAAGGCGAAAAGAACCCCGGCGAGGGGAGUGAAAAAGAACCUGAAACCGUGUACGUACAAGCAGUGGGAGCACCUUCGGGUGUGACUGCGUACCUUUUGUAUAAUGGGUCAGCGACUUAUAUUCUGUAGCAAGGUUAACCGUAUAGGGGAGCCGCAGGGAAACCGAGUCUUAACUGGGCGUUAAGUUGCAGGGUAUAGACCCGAAACCCGGUGAUCUAGCCAUGGGCAGGUUGAAGGUUGGGUAACACUAACUGGAGGACCGAACCGACUAAUGUUGAAAAAUUAGCGGAUGACUUGUGGCUGGGGGUGAAAGGCCAAUCAAACCGGGAGAUAGCUGGUUCUCCCCGAAAGCUAUUUAGGUAGCGCCUCGUGAAUUCAUCUUCGGGGGUAGAGCACUGUUUCGGCUAGGGGGUCAUCCCGACUUACCAACCCGAUGCAAACUACGAAUACCGAAGAAUGUUAUCACGGGAGACACACGGCGGGUGCUAACGUCCGUCGUGAAGAGGGAAACAACCCAGACCGCCAGCUAAGGUCCCAAAGUCAUGGUUAAGUGGGAAACGAUGUGGGAAGGCACAGACAGCCAGGAUGUUGGCUUAGAAGCAGCCAUCAUUUAAAGAAAGCGUAAUAGCUCACUGGUCGAGUCGGCCUGCGCGGAAGAUGUAACGGGGCUAAACCAUGCACCGAAGCUGCGGCAGCGACACUAUGUGUUGUUGGGUAGGGGAGCGUUCUGUAAGCCUGCGAAGGUGUGCUGUGAGGCAUGCUGGAGGUAUCAGAAGUGCGAAUGCUGACAUAAGUAACGAUAAAGCGGGUGAAAAGCCCGCUCGCCGGAAGACCAAGGGUUCCUGUCCAACGUUAAUCGGGGCAGGGUGAGUCGACCCCUAAGGCGAGGCCGAAAGGCGUAGUCGAUGGGAAACAGGUUAAUAUUCCUGUACUUGGUGUUACUGCGAAGGGGGGACGGAGAAGGCUAUGUUAGCCGGGCGACGGUUGUCCCGGUUUAAGCAUGUAGGCUGGUUGUCCAGGCAAAUCCGGAUAAUCAAGGCUGAGGUGUGAUGACGAGGCACUACGGUGCUGAAGUAACAAAUGCCCUGCUUCCAGGAAAAGCCUCUAAGCAUCAGGUAACAUUAAAUCGUACCCCAAACCGACACAGGUGGUCAGGUAGAGAAUACCAAGGCGCUUGAGAGAACUCGGGUGAAGGAACUAGGCAAAAUGGUGCCGUAACUUCGGGAGAAGGCACGCUGGUGUGUAGGUGAAGCCCCUGCGGGUGGAGCUGAGACCAGUCGAAGAUACCAGCUGGCUGCAACUGUUUAUUAAAAACACAGCACUGUGCAAACACGAAAGUGGACGUAUACGGUGUGACGCCUGCCCGGUGCCGGAAGGUUAAUUGAUGGGGUUAUCCGUAAGGAGAAGCUCUUGAUCGAAGCCCCGGUAAACGGCGGCCGUAACUAUAACGGUCCUAAGGUAGCGAAAUUCCUUGUCGGGUAAGUUCCGACCUGCACGAAUGGCGUAAUGAUGGCCAGGCUGUCUCCACCCGAGACUCAGUGAAAUUGAACUCGCUGUGAAGAUGCAGUGUACCCGCGGCAAGACGGAAAGACCCCGUGAACCUUUACUAUAGCUUGACACUGAACAUUGAGCCUUGAUGUGUAGGAUAGGUGGGAGGCUUUGAAGCGUGGACGCCAGUCUGCGUGGAGCCAACCUUGAAAUACCACCCUUUAAUGUUUGAUGUUCUAACGUUGGCCCCUGACCGGGGUUGCGGACAGUGUCUGGUGGGUAGUUUGACUGGGGCGGUCUCCUCCCAAAGCGUAACGGAGGAGCACGAAGGUUAGCUAAUCCUGGUCGGACAUCAGGAGGUUAGUGCAAUGGCAUAAGCUAGCUUGACUGCGAGCGUGACGGCGCGAGCAGGUGCGAAAGCAGGUCAUAGUGAUCCGGUGGUUCUGAAUGGAAGGGCCAUCGCUCAACGGAUAAAAGGUACUCCGGGGAUAACAGGCUGAUACCGCCCAAGAGUUCAUAUCGACGGCGGUGUUUGGCACCUCGAUGUCGGCUCAUCACAUCCUGGGGCUGAAGUAGGUCCCAAGGGUAUGGCUGUUCGCCAUUUAAAGUGGUACGCGAGCUGGGUUUAGAACGUCGUGAGACAGUUCGGUCCCUAUCUGCCGUGGGCGCUGGAGAAUUGAGGGGGGCUGCUCCUAGUACGAGAGGACCGGAGUGGACGCAUCACUGGUGUUCGGGUUGUCAUGCCAAUGGCACUGCCCGGUAGCUAAAUGCGGAAGAGAUAAGUGCUGAAAGCAUCUAAGCACGAAACUUGCCCCGAGAUGAGUUCUCCCUGAGACUUUAAGUCUCCUGAAGGAACGUUGAAGACGACGACGUUGAUAGGCCGGGUGUGUAAGCGCAGCGAUGCGUUGAGCUAACCGGUACUAAUGAACCGUGAGGCUUAACCUUACAACGCCGAAG
rnacentral:rRNA from 1 species